GACGUAGGGCGCGAGCGUUGUCCGGAUUUAUUGGGCGUAAAGAGCUCGUAGGCGGCUUGUCGCGUCGUCCGUGAAAACCUGCAGCUCAACUGCAGGCUUGCGGUCGGUACGGGCAGGCUGGAGUUCGGUAGGGGAGACUGGAAUCCUGGUGUAGCGGUGAAAUGCGCAGAUAUCAGGAGGAACACCGGUGGCGAAGGCGGAUCUCUGGGCCUUACCUGACGCUGGAGGCGCGAAAGCUAGGGGAGCGA
rnacentral:rRNA from 1 species